rnacentral:tRNA from 1 species
GUGCUUAUAGUUCAGUUGGUUAGAGCGUCAGAUUGUGGUUCUGAAUGUCGUGGGUUCGAAUCCCACUAAGCACCCA